GGCGGAUCACGAGCUACCCUCUCUCUCUGUAGCUUGGCUACAACAGACAGAGAAAUCGGAGUGCGGGUCACGUGACACGGGAAGGUGCGAGCGCGCCAUCGUUACCAUGGCAACAGCCUCACGCGCGCCCCUAGGUAAAUAUGCCGAGUGGUCAAUUCUGGGCUGUGUAGCAACACAUCUUUCACCUUGUCAAAGCAUUCUUCCUUUAAGUCUUGGAACCAAGAAGGAGCCAAACCUGGAGGCAGAGGACCUGCAUGUUAGGGUGAAGAGAGAAGGUGAGGAAUGGGGCUGAAGAGGAACCAUAGACGUAGUGCCAUCUGUGCCAGCAGCCAGGAGGCUUGGAAGUGGGGCAAAGCAAAGGACUCCCAGACACACUAAUAGCCAGAAGACUACAGUGGAAGGAAGGAACAGAGAGACUUCUUUUUCCAAAGGAAAUGGAGAGCAGAGGAGAGGGCCUUCAAAUGUAAUCAGACACGUAAGCCCCCAAACGGGGUCCAUGGACAGGUGAGGGGAGGUUGGCUUGUCUCCUAGAUGUUGCCUUUGGAUAUUGUGCACUCCUCCACCCCCAUCUUUCAUAUUAGUCUCAGACACUGAAGACAAUGCAGGAAGCGAUACACUGUAAUAUUACAGAAAAGACAAAAAUGAGAGAAAAACAAGGGAAGAAAAGGAGUGGGGGGGGGGGAAAGAUAUGUAGUAAGCAGAGCUGCUUAAACAGGACUUGACUCAUACAUUAAUUUACAAAUUUCACAAGUAUUUGUCAAAUACAAUUAUUUGACAGAUACUUUUUGUAUUAUCUGACCAGCUCUAAAGCUGGCCAUAUACUAUUCUGUGAAUACAUUAUUCAAUACAUACAAGUGAAAUUAAUCAAGUAAAUACAUAAAGUGAAAUUAAUCAAGUCAUAUAUUCAGAAAAUAUUUUUGAUACUCAACCAGCCCUUGUAGUAUGUUAAAUUUCAUUAAAAAUGUAUACAAAAGAAGUUUGAUUAGCAAUAUGUUGCAAUUAAAUACCGCAUACAACAAACAGUGCACAACUGUUUUAUUCCUCCAAAUUGCAUGGAGCAUUGGUCUUAUUUACCAUCGUAGAAGGAUUUGACCUCAGGUUAGUAGGCAAUGAUAGAUUUUUCAAGCCCAGUGUAUAAUCAGAACUUUGCAGUGAGCAUGGGCCAUGAUUAAAGAUUAAAAAAACCUGGGUGCCUAAAAAGUUAGGCAACCUUAUUUUCAGAAGUACUUCUAAAUCCAUAGUUAGCAACCUUAUUUUCAGAAGUACUGAACACCCACAAAUCCUAAUGAAAUCAAUGGGAACUGCUGGUUGCUUAGCACUUUUAAAAAUCAGGUCAAUUUUAGAUAGCUAACUACAGAUUUAAGACCUUACUUCAGGUAUCCAGUUUGGGAAAUCUUGGCCAUAAUGUUUAGAUGAGUUUAUGUUAGAUUUUGUUAGUUCUCUAGGGUUUUUUCCAUUUUACAGGUUCUAUCUGAAAUUUUUGUUUUAAAAAUGUAUUUAUUUCUUCGAAUUGAGCUUAAUUUCAGUUGAAUCCUUUGGCUGACAUUAAUGUUUUUAUUUAUGACUGUCUCAUUCCUUUGGUUGCGCACGUCCUUACAGCUCUGGAAUCAUCUGUUCGUGUGGCAUACCCAUGAUCAGAGGUAGAUUAAAGUCUCAUAGGGCCCUGGACCAGAGCAAAUGGGGGGACCCUGGCACCAGAACCGUGGCCCUGCCCCACCCCUUCUACCUGCAGCCCUACCCCUGUUCCACCCCUUUCCCAUAGUCCCAACCUAGUCCACCCUUUUCCUGAAGCCCUGCCACUGCUCUGCCCAUGGCCCCGCCUCGUUCCACCCCUUCCCUCCGCAGCCUUGCACCGAUUCCGCACAUGGCUUCACCCCACUCUACCUCUUCCCCCAUGACCCUGCUCUCUUCUUUCCAUCACCACUACCCCUGGGGCUGUGGCGGGGGUAGAUUUUUCCAGGGGCCCCAAAUUUGCUGGGGCCCCUAGGCAUAGACCCUUGGGCACGUGCAGUAAUCCGCUACUGCCCAUGAUAUUUUUGUUAUUAGUCCAAUCACCACUGCGGAUUCAUCCUCGUCAUAUAAUCACAAUUCAAUUUGGCAUAGUUAACGGUCUCCGCUGAGGAGGGUUUCAAAACUAGAAUAGCAAUGGUGCAGCAGAUCAGGGACAAAAGUGCACUAAUUGAGGUGUGUAAGGAAACUGGUACGUUGCUAGCCUGCAUUAUAUUUGGCUGUAGUUACUGAUAUCAGUCUCAUUUUCAUUGGCACUGAAAAUUGUCACAUUCACCAUCCAAGAAAACAUAAUCGUUUAGCUCUAUGAACAAACACAGCUAUUUCAAUUUUUUGUCUGGAUGGGUUGCUGUAGGGCGGGAGAGGAUGAACAAGGAGAAUUUAUUCAAAGAAUGGAAAAUCACAACUGUUAUCAGCAGGAAAAUAAGGGAUCUACACAACAUUGUUUGAUUUACAGUCCUUCACAUAAAGAUGAAGUGGCAAGUAUGCAAGAAAUAUAGCAACCUGUCCUUUCACAUGGGCUCAGAUCCUGCAAACACUAUGUCCACACAUAAUUUGACUUCAAUGGAACUAAUCACACAAGAAAAGCUAUACACAUGCUUAAGUGUUUGCAGGAUCAGGAUCUAGGUGAUCAUCAUAACCCAAAGGCAAAAUGCACAUAUUGAAACCUGUAACCUGGCCAUACUCAGUAUUCUCAACUUGCUUAACAGGUUUCACAGAAACAAAGUACAUCACUUAUACCAAUCAUUUACUGUACCAAAGUUUUAUGUCUAAAAACAGGUUCUAUAGAUCAGAAGCUGACCAAAAUUUUAAAAGGCAACAAUUAUGUUUUUUGGGACUACAAGUGAACAAUGCUAAAAUAUUACUGACUACAAAUACAAGCCCUCUUGAUGAAAUCUGGGGGUUCCUCUGGCACAGUAAUAUCAUUUUCUCUCUCUUCAUAGGAGGAUAGGAUUAAGCUGUGGGGGUUGGGGGAGAAUAGCAUUCUGUUUGGCAUUACUAUAGAUGUAUAUUUUGUUCACUAAUAAAAGUAGCAAUUAGAUUCAUAAAGGCCAGAAGGGAUGAUCUGAUCUUCUUGUCUGAACUGCUGGAUACCAGAGGCCAUUAAAUUUCACUCAGAUACCCCUGUACUGAGCAUAACAAUUUGUGUUUGAUUAAAGCAUAACUUCCAGAAGGCAUCUAAUCUAGACUCGAAGACAUCGAGUGAUGGAGAAUCCACUACUUCCCUUGUUAGUUUUCUCCAGUGAUUAAUCACACACUUAAAAAUUUCUGCCUAAUUUCUUCUUUGAAUAUGUCUGGUUUCAGCUUCCAGACACUGGUUCUUGUUCUCUCUUUCUCUGCUAGAUUAAAGAGCCCUUUAGUACCUGGUAUUUUCUCCAUGUGAAGGUCCUUAUACACUGUAAUCAAGUCACCUCUGAAUCUUCUGUUUGAUAAACUAAAUAGAUUGUGAGCUCUCAAAGUCUCUCACUGUAAGACAUUUUCUCCACCCUCUCCAAUUUUUCCACAUCCUUUUAAAAAUGCCAACACCUGAACAGUACUCAUUAUUCGAGAACUAGUCUCACUAAUGCCGUAUAUUUGUUUAUUAAUUAUUGCUGUUAUUUAGAAACUACUUCAUUGCUGCACUACUGCUGAAAUAACAGCUGAAGCUAAAUAUCUGAAUUACUCUGUUCACAAUAAAACUUAAGAGUAAUAUUUACCUAUGCCUUAAACCACGGCUCUGUAAGAACUAUUGGAUUAAGAUUUAAGGGCUUCUCUACACUACAAAGUUAAGCCAACAUUAGGCAGCUUACGUUGAACUAUGGAGUUGUACACACUGCAAUGCUCCUCCUGUUGCUUUAACUUUCUUGCUAUGCUGACGAGCAGCAUAGAGGUUAGGACGACCUAGUUAGAAUGACGCAGCGUCAGUGUAGAUACUGCAUUGCAUUAUACUGCAUUAUGUCACCCUAAGUGGCCUCCAGGAGGUAUUCCACAAUGGCGACCGUGACUGCUCUGAUCACUGUUUUGAUCUCCACUGCCCUGCAGUCAGGUACACAGAUAUGUGCUCCUCCCCUUUUAAAGCCCCAUGGAGUUUUGACAUUGCUCUUCCUGUUUGCUCAGUGUGAAGAGCUCACAUAGCUAGAGCCCUGCUCAGAUACAAAAUUUGUAUCCACAUCCAAUCCAUGAUCCACAAAAAUGAUAUAAAAUGGAUAUCCGUGGAGUUGCAGGGCUCUGCACAUAGCGACUGCCCAGAUGAGCAUGCCAGCUCCAUGCAGCAAACAUGGUGCUGCCUGGAGUACACAGAAGGUGGAUUUCCUGAGUCUGUGGGGAGAAAUCACUGCAGGGAAGCUGGGGGAGAGAAUCGCAAGGACCUCCCUACAUUCCCCUUCCCCCCAUCCCCACCUGCCCAUUCCAUGUAUCUUCCCGGGCCACAGAAAUACCUAAGGCACUCCACCCCCUGGGAGAUUAAACAGGACAGCUGCACAUACCCCAAGGAGGCUCUCACAGCUGGGUGUAUGUGCUUGUGAAUUCCCUUUUCCAUGCCCUUUAAAGAUACGAAAGUUUCCCCUGCAUGUAUGAAGUUUACCUCAGUAUUACACAGGUAUGUUUGCAUGGGUGUGGAAUAAAAAUCUACUUUUGGAAACUGAAUUUAUCUUUAUUAUUCUCCAUCACAUCGUGGCUGCUGCUAACAUUCAAGACAAUAGCAAUAGGUUCACACGCAUUAUAAGAGUUGGGCUCACGCAGCAAUCAUACACGAUUUAUAGCGUGGUGCAAACAAACAAUGCCAGGCUCGGCACACUACAGGAACACACAUUACUCUGCGUCAGUGUUAAAAUGUUCCUUCACAGCAUCUGUUGGAUCAUAUUAAAGAAGUUCUGUAUUAAAAUCACAAAUGAGUUUGAUUCACCAUAGUUUAAAUUUCAGGGUAUUACUAAUUAAGUGGUCUCUUGGUUUUUGGUACUGUUUCUCUCCCUC